GCAUCGGCCGUAUCCCCACCCACUUGUUUUGGUCCAAGGGCAGAAAUGAACAUCCUGGAAACCAAUCAGUACUUGCGCUCUGAACUGGAAAAGUGCAAACAGAACUUCCGAGACCUCACAGAGAAAUUCCUGACAUCCAAAGCAACUGCCUACUCCCUGGCCAAUCACCUGCAGAAAUACAAGUGUGAAGAGUGCAAAGACCUUACAGAAUCUGUGCUGCAGGAGGAGCUGCAGUUUCAGGAGAGGGAGCUGGCCGAAUUGCCGAGACCAGCUACAAGGCUCUGGAUACAUGAUCCCUUAAUUCAGGCUCAGGCUGAAGAACUGACCCACUUACUACAGAAGAUACAGGAAGGAAGAGGUGUCUACUAGCUUUUCACCCAGCAUGUGAAGAACACAGUCAAGUCUUUUGAGGGCCUUCUCAGGAACACUGGCAUUGCCUGCUACCAGAGACAGAGAUUCUGUGAGCAAAUGGUACAAGGAAUCCAGCUGACAGAGGUUCUUGUCAGAAAACUUGCCACAGGUAAGUUGGCUACAGGCUCUGAAGACCCUUAGCUCCUCCCAAGUGCCCCAAAGUGGGGAGAAAAAAUGCAGAGUUAUCUCCAUUGUAAAUUUCAUUUUAGUUUUGACUAUGGUCCUUAAUCUGCAUUCUAUUGUUUUCUCUUUAGAGCACUCAGGUAAUCACUUUUCAUAUUCUUUCAAGAGUUCUGAGUUUUGUUUUUUAUUUUGAGACAGAGGCUUGCUCUCUUACCCAAGCUGGAGUGCAGUGACACAAUCUUGGCUGACUGUGAUCUGUGCCUCCUGGGCUCAAGCAUUCCUCCAACCUCAGCCUCCCAAGUAGCUGGUACUACAGGUGUGUGCCACCAUGCCUGGCUGACUUUUGUAUUUUUUGUAGAGACAGGGUUUCUCCAUGUUGCCCAGGCUGGUGUUGAACUACUGAGCUCAAGUGAUCCACCUGCUUUGGCCUCCCAAAGUGCUGGGAUUACAGAUGUGAGCCACUGUGCCUGGCCUGAGAGUUCUUAGUUUCAAUCAGUAAGAGAGAUAGAGUAUAGUGGAUUACUUCAUCUUGAUGAGCAUAAGAACUCACCUUCAUUUCUGGAAGAUAUUUUCACUGGGUGUAGGAUUCUAGUUGACAGUUUUUGUUUUUAAAAAGUGUUUGAAAAGUGAUAUUCCACUGUCUUCUGGCUUACAUUGUUUCCAACAAGAAGUCUGCCAUAAUUCUUAUUUUUGUUCCUCUGUACAUAAUGUGUCAUUUUUCCUCUGGCCACUUUUGAGAUUUUCUAUUUACCACUGGUUUGAAGCAGUUUAGUUAAGAUAAGACCUUGUAUAGUUUUAUCUUUUACAUAUUGUUUUACUUUAUCUAGUUUCUUGCAUCUGCAUGUUUAUAGUUCUCAUCAAAUUUGAGUAAUAAUGACAUAUAUAUGUCUUAUACAUGGCAUAUACAAUAUAGUAUAUAUGGCACAUAUGUAUCAAAUAUAUAUAAUGUAUAUUCUCUUCUUUCUCUCUAGCCUCUCAUUCAAAGACUCCAGUUAUAUUUGUAUUAGCUGCUUUGAAAUUUUACCACAGCUGACUAAUGGUCUGUUCAUUUUUGUUGUAUCUUUUUUUUCCUCUCUUUGUUUGUUUCUAUUUCCAUGUCUUGUAAUUGGUUAAUCUUUCUUCAGUAGCACCUAAUCUGCUGUUAAUCCUAUCCAGUGUAUUUUCAUCUCAGACAUUAUUUUUCAUGUAAAUUUAAUUUAUAUCUUUUUUUAAGGCCUUCUAUAUAACACUUCAUCAUUUCAUAUUUUCCCCUAGCUUGUUUAUUUUAUUUUAUUCUAUUUUUUGAGACAGAGUAUUGUUCUGUUGCCCAGGCUGAAGUACAGUGGUGAGAUUUCAGCUCACUGCAACCUUUGCCUCCUGGGUUCAAGCAAUUCUUGUGCCUCAGCCUCCUGAGUAGCUGUGAUUGCAGGCAUGUGCCUCCACACCCAGCUAAUUUUCAUAUUUUUCAGAGAGAUGGUGUUUCACCACAUUGGCCAGGCUAGUCGCCAACUCCUGACCGCAGGUGACCCACUCACCUUGGCCUCGCAAAGUGCCAGGAUUACAAGUAUGAGUUGCCACACCUGGCCUAGCUUCUUUAAUACAAGGAAUAUAGUUAUAUUUGCUUCAAUGUCCUUGUCUACAGAUUCUGUCAUCUGUGUCCUUUCUAUUGUUUUUUUAAUUCUCACUUGAUGUGUCCUUUCUAAGUCAGUUUAAGCAGAUUGAUUUUUUUUUUCCCUUCUUAUCAUGGAUUACAGUUUUCUGUCUCUCUGCAUUCCUAACAUUAUUUGAUUUGGUGUUAGACAUUGCGAAUUGUAACUUAUUGAGUGCUGGAUU
rnacentral:lncRNA from 1 species